GGCCGGUUCGUUCAACUGGAAGGACACCUGAGUACGAAUCAGGAGAUAUAGGUUCGAUUCCUGUACCGGCUA
rnacentral:tRNA from 1 species